rnacentral:rRNA from 1 species
AAUGAACGCUGGCGGCAGGCCUAACACAUGCAAGUCGAACGGAAGCACAGUGCUUGCUUGCGGUUCCGGGGGGGGAGUGGUGGGCGGGUCAUGAGAAUAUCCGUCUCUAUUUUUUCGUAUGUCUUCACGAAGGGGCUCUUACUCCAUUAUCGCAGACGCCGUACGUGGGUGAGCUUCGGAUCUUCGGAUCUUGCGUGAUUGUAUGUGCGGAUGUCGGGUUAGCUAGUUGGCGGGGUAAAGACCCACCAAGGCGACGAUCCGUAGCUGGUCUGAGAGGAUGAUCAGCCACACUGGAACUGAGACACGGUCCAGACUCCUACGGGAGGCAGCAGUGGGGAAUAUUGGACAAUGGGCGCAAGCCUGAUCCAGCCAUGCCGCGUGUGUGAAGAAGGCCUUCGGAUUGUAAAGCCCUUUUGGUGGGGAUGAAAAGCAGUAGGUUAAUACCUAGCUGUUGUGACGGUACCAAAAGAAUAAGCACCGGCUAACUUCGUG